UACCUGCAGCUCUAGUGGUGUCCGCUAUUAUUGGGCCUAAAACGUCCGUAGCCGGCUUAUUAAAUGCCUGGGUAAAUCGUACGGCUUAACCGUACGAAUUCCGGGUAGACUGAUAAGCUUGGGACCGGGAGAAGCUAGAGGUACUCCUGGGGUAGAGGUGAAAUUUUGUAAUCCUAGGGGGACCACCAGUGGCGAAGGCGUCUAGCUAGAACGGGUUUGACGGUGAGGGACGAAGCCCUGGGGAGCAAACGGGAUUAGAUACCCCGGUAGUCCAGGGUGUAAACGCUGCUUGCUUGAUGUUAGUCGGGCUCCGAGCCCGAUUAGUGUCGGAGAGAAGUUGUUAAGCAAGCUGCCUGGGAAGUACGGCCGCAAGACUGAAACUUAAAGGAAUUGGCGGGGAGCACUGCAACGGGUGGAGCGUGCGGUUU
rnacentral:rRNA from 1 species